AUACUUACCUGGCAGGGGAGAUACCAUGAUCACGAAGGUGGUUUUCCCAGGGCGAGGCUUAUCCAUUGCACUCCGGAUGUGCUGACCCCUGCGAUUUUCCCAAAUGUGGGAAACUUGACUGCCUACUUUGUGGUAGUGGGGGGAUUGCGUUUGCACUUUCCCCUG
ensembl:snRNA U1 U1 spliceosomal RNA